rnacentral:misc_RNA from 1 species
GAUGAAGAACGCAGCGAAAUGCGAUAAGUAAUGUGAAUUGCAGAAUUCCGUGAAUCAUCGAAUCUUUGAACGCACAUUGCGCCGUCUGGUAGGCCGGGGGGCAUGCCUGUCCGAGCGUCAUUUGCAACCCUCAAGCCCGGCUUGUGUGAUGGGUGCCGUCCCCUACGGGACGCGCCCCGAAGGCAAUGGCGGCGUCGCGGUUAUCCGAUCAGCCAAAGUGUAUGGGGCUUUGUCACUCACUUUACGGCCCGGACCGGCGCCAGUCCGAAUCAAUCUUUUUUCUAAAGUUGACCUCGGAUCAGGUAGGGAUACCCGCUGAACUUAAGCAUAUCAAUAAGCGGAGGA